rnacentral:rRNA from 1 species
AGGGGGGAAUAUUGGGUCAAUGGGCGCUAGCCUGAACCAGCCAUGCCGCGUGCAGGAAGACGGCCCUACGGGUUGUAACUGCUUUUCUGCAGGAAGAAUAUUAGUCUUAGGGCUAUAUGACGGUACUGCAGGAAUAAGCAUCGGCUAACUCCGUGCCACACCGCGGUAUAGGAGGAUGAAGCGAUCCGGAUUCAUUGGGUUUAAAGGGUGCGCAGCUGUAAAGCAAGUCAGUGGUGAAAGCCCUGGGCUUAACUCAGGGAUUGCCAUUGAAACUGUUUUACUAGAGUGUAGUAGAGGACGGCGGAAUGAGUUGUGUANCGGUGAAAUGCAUAGAUAUAACUCAGAACACCUAUUGCGUAGGCAGCUGUCUAUACUACAACUGACGCUGAGGCACGAAAGCGUGGGGAGCGAACAGGAUUAGAUACCCUGGUAGUCCACGCUGUAAACGAUGAUCACUCGUUGUUGGCUACUUAGUAGUCAGUGACCAAGGGAAACCGAUAAGUGAUCCACCUGGGGAGUACGUCGGCAACGAUGAAACUCAAAGGAAUUGACGGGGGCCCGCACAAGCGGAGGAACAUGUGGUUUAAUUCGAUGAUACGCGAGGAACCUUACCUGGGCUUAAAUGCUGGCUGCAUUGGAGGGAAACCUUCAUUUCCUACGGGACCGCCAGCAAGGUGCUGCAUGGUUGUCGUCAGCUCGUGCCGUGAGGUGUCGGGUUAAGUCCCAUAACGAGCGCAACCCCUAUCGCUAGUUGCCAGCAUGUAAUGGUGGGGACUCUAGCGAGACUGCCGGUGUAAACCGGAGGAAGGUGGGGAUGACGUCAAAUCAGCACGGCCCUUACGUCCAGGGCUACACACGUGUUACAAUGGCCGGUACAAAGAGCAGCCACCUGGCGACAGGGCGCUAAUCUCUAAAACCGGUCUCAGUUCGGAUCGAAGUCUGCAAUUCGACUUCGUGAAGGUGGAUUCGCUAGUAAUCGCGCAUCAGCCAUGGCGCGGUGAAUAAGUUCCCGGGCCUUGUACACACCGCCCGUCAAGCCAUGGAAGUCGGGGGUACCUGAAGUCCGUAACCGA